UACAGAGGCCCCAAGCGUUAGGCGGAAUCACUGGGCUUAAAGCGUGUGUAGGCGGACUGGUAAGUACCUUGUGAAAUCCCACGGCUCAACCGUGGAACUGCUUGGUAUACUGCUUGUCUUGUGCAACCUAGGGGCGAGCGGAACAGAUGGUGGAGCGGUGAAAUGCGUAGAUAUCAUCUGGAACGCCAAUGGUGAAAACAGCUCGCUGGGGGUUUGCAGACGCUGAGACACGAAAGCCAGGGGAGCAAACGGG
rnacentral:rRNA from 1 species